CCAGAGAAAAGUUGCUUUGAGGCUUGAUACAGCAGAUUUCCGAAGUUAAUUGAGCUUAUUUGGUGACCUUGGGGACUGGUUUAGAAGGUGUUCUACCCUGUGCGGGAGGGUAAUUGACUCUUGGACCGUCUUCGACUGGCAUUGGAGGGCCUUUUGGAAGCUUAAC